UACGUAGGCGGCCUGACAAGUCAGAGGUGAAAGGCUACGGCUUAACCGUAGUAAGCCUUUGAAACUGACAGGCUUGAGUGCAGGAGAGGAAAGUGGAAUUCCUAGUGUAGCGGUGAAAUGCGUAGAUAUUAGGAGGAACACCAGUGGCGAAGGCGACUUUCUGGACUGUAACUGACGCUGAGGCACGAAAGCGUGGGGAGCGAACAGGAUUAGAUACCCUGGUAGUCC
rnacentral:rRNA from 1 species